AAUUUUUAAACUUAAAAAAAAAAUUUUCUAAUUGUAAAAAAAUAAAAAAUUCCAAAUUAUCCAAAAAAUAAAAAAUAAAAAUUUUAAAUUUUUUAAAUUAAUCUAUUCUUAAUUUGUGAACAAGUGCAGCAAAAAAAAUCAACUGUCUAGUUGUAGCAUUAUCCAUAAAAU